UGGGGAAUAUUGCACAAUGGGCGCAAGCCUGAUGCAGCCAUGCCGCGUGUAUGAAGAAGGCCUUCGGGUUGUAAAGUACUUUCAGCGGAGGAGGAAGGCAUUAAGGUUAAUAACCUUAGUGAUGACGUUACUCGCAGAAGAAGCACCGGCUAACUCCGUGCCAGCAGCCGCGGUAUACAGGAGGGUGCAAGCGUUAAUCGGAAUUACUGGGCGUAAAGCGCACGCAGGCGGUCUGUCAAGUCGGAUGUGAAAUCCCCGGGCUCAACCUGGGAACUGCAUCCGAAACUGGCAGGCUAGAGUCUUGUAGAGGGGU
rnacentral:rRNA from 1 species